GACGAACGCUGGCGGCGUGCUUAACACAUGCAAGUCGAACGGUGAUGCUCCAGCUUGCUGGCGUGGAUCAGUGGCGAACGGGUGAGUAACACGUGAGCAACCUGCCCCAGACUCUGGAAUAAGCGCUGGAAACGGCGUCUAAUACUGGAUACGAAACUGGCCCGCAUGGGCAUGGUUUGGAAAGUUUUUCGGUUUGGGAUGGGCUCGCGGCCUAUCAGCUUGUUGGUGAGGUAAUGGCUCACCAAGGCGACGACGGGUAGCCGGCCUGAGAGGGCGACCGGCCACACUGGGACUGAGACACGGCCCAGACUCCUACGGGAGGCAGCAGUGGGGAAUAUUGCACAAUGGGCGAAAGCCUGAUGCAGCGACGCCGCGUGAGGGAUGACGGCCUUCGGGUUGUAAACCUCUUUCAGCAGGGAAGAAGCGAAAGUGACGGUACCUGCAGAAGAAGCACCGGCUAACUACGUGC
rnacentral:rRNA from 1 species